CCCUUAGAUGUCCUGGGCCGCACGCGCGCUACACUGACAUGUUCAACAAGCCUCCUAGUUCGACAGGAUUUGGGAAAUCUUUGAACGCAUGUCGUGAUAGGGAUAGAUCAUUGCAAUUAUUGACCUUGAACGAGGAAUUCCUAGUAAACGCGAGUCAUCAGCUCGCAUUGAUUACGUCCCUGCCCUUUGUACACACCGCCCGUCGCACCUACCGAUUGAAUGUUUCGGUGAAGAUUCCGGAUAGGACUUUUUUGAUUUAUUUCAAUUUUGUCUUAAAAGCUAUCUAAACCUCAACAUUUAGAGGAAGGUGAAGUCGUAACA
rnacentral:rRNA from 1 species